AUGGGAGAUGUGCGUAGUGAAAACAGACAACUCCAAGCUCGUUUGAAGAAUGCUAUUUCUUUAGAGAAAAGGAAACAGGCGCUGGAGCAGAAGGACCUCGACCUCGCUGCUGCGCAAAAGACGGGGCGGGAGAAAACCGAACUUGCUGACAAGAAGCUGGCUACAGUCGGCAAGUUGGAAGAAGAAAACACCAAACUGAAGACUGCCAUCGGCGAAGCCAACAAGGAAGUCAUGCAGCUGAAGAAAGACAAGGUGACUCUGACUGACAAAGUUGGAUAUCUCACUCGGAAGAAGGACGAGCUGGAGGUUUAUCUAGGAGGACUCGCCAAGAAGCUGUUCCUUAUGCUUGAAGAAUUCUGUCAAAACUUCGAGGAAGAGACUGGGCAAAUUGAGACAAAAUUGGACCCCAUCAACUCCCCUGUUAAGGAUGAAGCUUCCAUGAACGUGCUUCGGCUGGAAUCUCGCCUUGCCAGCGCCGUGGACUACCUUGUGCGACUGAAGGUGGCGGUGUCACGGAUUGACACGGCACUCUGGCCAAGGGUGACAUUUCCGAAUCAUCUGGAGUCUCUGAUGACUCGACUUAAUGAGAUCCCUGGUUGA
rnacentral:rRNA from 1 species